rnacentral:lncRNA from 1 species
UCAGCAAUUUCUGAUAUGACAUCGGACACAUUUAAAAACCAUAGAGAAACACUAGAGCCAUUCACGAAUUUCUUCCACUUAUCUACAAAAACACAGCAUCACUUUAACAUCAAAUAAUAAUUUCUGUUGACGCUGCAACUAUAAUUAUUAACUACCUUGGAAAUAUCACAAUAUUCCACCAAAUUUUCUAGAAAACCCCCUCUUUUCAACCAACUCUGGGGUGAUCAGUCCCUAUAGGCAAAUCUGGGCUACGUUUCUAGAAAUAUCACAUAACAACUGGAUGCAUUCACAACACUGCACCAAUACUUCUUCAUAUACACUAUAUCUCAACACAUGAAUAAUC